GUGUGUGUGUGUGUGUAAGUGUGUGUGUGUGUUUCACUUUUGACAUUAAUACGGAUCAGGGACGAUGGCGUCUGUAGAUUGUCUACCACUAAGAAAGAGGAGAAGUAUGGGACGACCUCCCAUGAUUCCCCAGCGCCUUUUUAAGCGCUUUUGGCAGGACUGUUGACAUCCUCCAGUUGGCAAGACUGUAGCGUGAACGCCCAGCACCGGAGCGACCGGGGUUUGCGCCUCGCAUUAAUGUAUUAUUUUGCCUUUUUUUAUUAUUUGCCUGCUGAGCCUGCGGCGCAAUCGGGGUUCUCCCGAUUGCUUUUUUGUUCUGGUCUCUGUC